rnacentral:rRNA from 1 species
CUUGCAGGGUACUCGAGUGGCGAACGGGUGAGUAACCCGUGGGUGAUCUGCCCUGCACUUCGGGAUAAGCUUGGGAAACUGGGUCUAAUACCGGAUAGGAACCAUCUUUAGUGUGGUGGUUGGAAAGUUUUUUCGGUGUAGGAUGAGCUCGCGGCCUAUCAGCUUGUUGGUGGGGUAAUGGCCUACCAAGGCGGCGACGGGUAGCCGGCCUGAGAGGGUGUACGGCCACAUUGGGACUGAGAUACGGCCCAG